AUGGGGAGAACAUGUGUUUAUGUUCAUCAUGUGGAUAAAGAGGCCUUUUUGAAAGGCAAUGUUGAGACGGACCCGGAUGAGCUUGACAUGGUGUUUGAGAGUAGUCCUAGCUAUGCGGAGCUUUUGAAACAAGUGAGGAAAGAUUUGAAUUGGAUGGACCCAAGUGACGUUGUUGAGUUCGAGGGAAGGCAUAAUGUUGGUUUAGGAAUGCACAUCCGUUGGAAGACAAUGCGUGUGACAUCCGUGGUGGUGGUGGAGAAUACGGCACCGGCCAAUUCCAAGAGCCUCGUGAGCAAUCCCGUUGUGGGGGCUGCAGUAAUGGGGGACACAACACAAGAACUUGUCCCAAACCAAGAAAGAGAUCAAAGAAAAAUGGUGCAAGCACAAGCCAAACAAAUGAUAGCCAACCAAGUGAACCAAGGGGUAGCCAACCAAGUCAAACAAGUGGUGGAGUACCAAACCACUCAAAUCAAACAAGCCAACGAGGAACUAGGCAACAAAGAGGGAGUCAUCUUGGUCUUAGAAGAGGCCGUGGUGGUGGUCUUGGCCGUGGUGAUGGUCUUGGCCGUGGUGGUGGUAGAGGCCGUGGUGAUGGUCUUGGCCGUGGUGAAGGUCUUGUCCGUGGUGAUGGUCUUGGCUGUGGUGGUGGUAGAGGUCGUGGUGAUGGUCUUGGUCGUGGUGAAAGUCUUGGUCGU
rnacentral:rRNA from 1 species